AACGAACGCUGGCGGCAUGCUUAACACAUGCAAGUCGAACGAGAACGGGACUUCGGUCCUUAUUAGAGUGGCGCACGGGUGAGUAACGCGUAGAUAACCUACCCUGAAGACUGGGAUAACCCUGAGAAAUUAGGGCUAAUACCGGAUGACACUUUUAACCUAGUGGUUAGAAGUUGAAAGUUCCGGCGCUUUAGGAUGGGUCUGCGUCCCAUUAGCUAGUUGGUAGGGUAAAGGCUUACCAAGGCAACGAUGGGUAGCGGGUCUGAGAGGAUGAUCCGCCACACUGGAACUGAGACACGGUCCAG
rnacentral:rRNA from 1 species